CGAUGGAGGGGGAUAACUACUGGAAACGGUAGCUAAUACCGCAUAACGUCGCAAGACCAAAGAGGGGGACCUUCGGGCCUCUUGCCAUCGGAUGUGCCCAGAUGGGAUUAGCUAGUAGGUGGGGUAACGGCUCACCUAGGCGACGAUCCCUAGCUGGUCUGAGAGGAUGACCAGCCACACUGGAACUGAGACACGGCCAG
rnacentral:rRNA from 1 species